GACGAACCGUGCGAACGUUGUUCGGAAUCACUGGGCUUAAAGGGCGCGUAGGCGGCUGAUCAAGUCCGGGGUGAAAUCCUGCAGCUUAACUGUAGAAGUGCCUUGGAUACUGAUUGGCUGGAGGGAGGUAGGGGUCUGUGGAACUUCUGGUGGAGCGGUGAAAUGCGUUGAUAUCAGAAGGAACACCAAUGGCGAAGGCAGCUUACUGGACAACAACUGACGCUGAGGCACGAAAGCGUGGGUAGCGAAAGGG
rnacentral:rRNA from 1 species